rnacentral:rRNA from 1 species
UACGUAGGGGGCGAGCGUUGUCCGGAAUCAUUGGGCGUAAAGCGCGUGUAGGCGGUCCGGUAAGUCCGCUGCGAAAGUCGGGGGCUCAACCUCGGAUGCCGGUGGAUACUGUCGGGCUUGAGUACGGAAGAGGCGAGUGGAAUUCCUGGUGUAGCGGUGAAAUGCGCAGAUAUCAGGAGGAACACCAUGCGAAGGCAGCUCGCUGGGACGUUACUGACGCUGAGACGCGAAAG